UAGUCUCGCACAGAUGCAUAUCAAUAAGCGGAGGAAAAGAAACUAACAAGGAUUCCCCUAGUAACGGCGAGUGAAGCGGGAAGAGCUCAAAUUUGAAAUCUUAAAGGGUUUCCCUUUACGAAUUGUAGUUUAAAGAAGUGUUUUCUGUUGAGGUUUUGGUAAAAGUUCUUUGGAAUAGGACAUCAUAGAGGGUGAGAAUCCCGUAUUUGACCUUUACUUUCAACUUUGUGAUACACUUUCAAAGAGUCGGAUUGUUUGGGAAUGCAGUCCAAAAUGGGUGGUAAAUUUCAUCUAAAGCUAAAUAUUGGCGAGAGACCGAUAGCGAACAAGUACCGUGAGGGAAAGAUGAAAAGAACUUUGAAAAGAGAGUUAAACAGUACGUGAAAUUGUCAAAAGGGAAGCGUUUGACACCAGUGUUGUUUUUCUGAAAAUCAAUUAAAGAACUGUUUAUGCUAAGCUGUUUAGACUUUAUCAGCUAUCUGUUUAGUUUUGAGCUUUUCUUUAAUGCACUUUUCAGUUAACAAGUCAACAUCAAUUUCUUUUGCUGUAAAAAAGCUUGAGGAAGGUGGCUUGAGAUUCGUCUUAAGUGUUUAUAGCCUCUUGCCUAUGCAGUCGGAGAGAUUGAGGUCUGCAGCGUAGAUCCUUCGGGGCUAAAUGCAUUUGUGCUAAGUUAUAGCAUUUUAUAGACAACUUGUUGACUAUGAUUUGUCUUGUAGCUUACUCGCUUAUGUUAUUUUACCUACGCUUAGGAUGUUGAGUAGCGACAUACGCAC
rnacentral:rRNA from 1 species